GGCUCUGUAGCGCAAUGGACAGCGUGUUGGACUUCUAAUUCAAAGGUUGUGGGUUCGAGUCCCACCAGAGUCG
rnacentral:tRNA from 1 species